rnacentral:rRNA from 1 species
CACGUAGGCACCAAGCGUUGUCCGGAUUUAUUGGGCGUAAAGGGCUCGUAGGCGGUUCAGUAAGUCGGGUGUGAAAACUCUGGGCUCAACCCAGAGACGCCACCCGAUACUGCUGUGACUUGAGUACGGUAGGGGAGUGGGGAAUUCCUGGUGUAGCGGUGAAAUGCGCAGAUAUCAGGAGGAACACCAGUGGCGAAGGCGCCACUCUGGGCCGUAACUGACGCUGAGGAGCGAAAGCGUGGGUAGCAAACAGG